AGAAGUGAGAGAGAAGUGAUAGAAUACAUUGAGAUGGAACACACCUGUCUUCUACUCUUGCUGUUCAGUACACUGGUAUACUCCGGCCUCGGUCAUGAUGGAGUCUCUCUGAGCGUCCGUCCCAACAGAUCUCAGUUCUUUGAAUAUGAGUCUUUAAUUGUGAGCUGUGAAGUUCAAGGGAGCUCUGCUGGAUGGACACUGAAGAGAUACACAUCGACUGGGAAGCUUUCAGCUUGUGGAACCGACUGGGGAAAACAACAAGGUUUUUCAUGCAUUGUGUCACUAAUACUAUCAGACAGUGGGGUGUACUGGUGUGAGGCUGGGUCUG